GCUGGGGUAGCUCAGUCAGUAGAGCACUCCCUUGGUAAGGGAGAGGUCGAGGGUGCAACUCCCUUCCCCAGCU
rnacentral:tRNA from 2 species